rnacentral:rRNA from 1 species
AUUGAACGCUGGCGGCAGGCCUAACACAUGCAAGUCGAGCGGAGCGGCGGACGGGUGAGUAAUGCCUAGGAAUCUGCCUGGUAGUGGGGGAUAACGUCCGGUAACGGGAGCUAAUACCGCUUACUAUCAGUUGAGCCUAGGUCGGAUUAGGUAGUUGGUGGGGUAAAGGCCUAACAAGGCGACGAUCCGUAACUGGUCUGAGAGGAUGAUCAGUCAAACUGGAACUGAGGCAAGGUCCAGACUCCUACGGGAGGCAGCAGUGGGGAAUCUUCCGCAAUGGACGAAAGUCUGACGGAGCAACGCCGCGGUAGUGAUGACGGCCUUUGGGUUUUUAAGCUCUGUUAAUCGGGACGCGGUACCUGAAUAGAAAGCCACGGCUAACUACGUGACAGCAGCCGCGGUAAUAC